CAUGCCUCUAGAGGUCUUGCAGGUGUGGCUAUUGUAUCAUAUGUGCAUCAGUAGGUAACAGAGAUGAAAGAGGCUGAGGCUAUGUUUACGCUCAGUGUUCUGACCUGUGAACAUCUGAAUGAUUAGUAGCCUGGCAUU